rnacentral:rRNA from 1 species
UAGGGAAUCUUCCGCAAUGGACGAAAGUCUGACGGAGCAACGCCGCGUGAGUGAAGAAGGAUUUCGGUUCGUAAAACUCUGUUGUUAGGGAAGAAAAAAUGUAUAGUAACUAUAUACAAAAGAGACGGUACCUAACCAGAAAGCCACGGCUAACUACGUGCCAGCAGCCGCGGUAAUACGUAGGUGGCAAGCGUUGUCCGGAAUUAUUGGGCGUAAAGCGCGCGCAGGUGGUUUAGAAAGUCUGAUGUGAAAGCCCACGGCUCAACCGUGGAGAGUCAUUGGAAACUAAUAAACUUGAGUGCAGGAGAGAAAAGUGGAAUUCCUAGUGUAGCGGUGAAAUGCGUAGAGAUUAGGAGGAACACCGGUGGCGAAAGCGGCUUUUUGGCCUGCAACUGACACUGAGGCGCGAAAGCGUGGGGAGCAAACAGG